rnacentral:misc_RNA from 1 species
UUUCUUUUUUUUUUUUUUUCAACUUUUUCGAAGCCUCGUUUUACCAGUUUCCUUCAACUUCGUGCAAGACUAAUAUCCUCCAAAGUACGAGGCAUACACUUCGUUACUGUUGAGGUUGAGGUUAAGACUGAUUGAAGAACUAGCGGAUGAAUUUGUAAUAGAAAAGUAUAUUGAAAUAAUUAUGGGUAUAAGUAUACUGUAUAAGUAUAGGUUUAUGCUGACCCAGAUCCUCACUCUCAUAGUGUUACAAUAAAAUAGAAAAAUAGGGAGCACGUUUAUAUAUUUAUAGCAAAAGGACAUUACCAAAAAGGUUAACCUUACAGCUUUGGUUAGGGGCUACAGGGAACAUAAAUAGAAGUCUGUUUAUUAGUUUCUUUGUUCCUAGACCUUGCAACCCAAAACAUAAUUUAUAUUCAAGGGCACAAUAAUAUGCACCUCUGCUUAUUUAGAAUAUUUCUGCAUAAUAGCAGUCUCCAGGUCACAGAUAUGCAUAAAUAAAGAUGUAGAGAUUUUCUUGAAGUAGUUACUUCAACAGAAAAUAUUCACCAAGAAGAAAGGGGUAGAAGAAAGAAAGGAGAGCAGUGGAAAAAUGAGCCAGAAGAUAGAAUAGAGUAAGAAUUAUAAAAGAAAAGAGAAGGAAGAUAAAGAAUAUU